rnacentral:tRNA from 1 species
GGCCAGGUAGCUCAGUCGGUAGAGCAGGGGACUGAAAAUCCCUGUGUCGGUGGUUCGAUUCCUCCCCUGGCCACCA